GAGAAAGAGGAAGGUGUUUUUUUCUUCACUUUAUAAAGCUCCCUUGGAGCCAGAGUCCAGUUUUUAUCCCGACCACCUGAGUGGUGGUAUGGUCGCUCAUGCUCAGCCGCCAUUCUCUUGUUUAAGUUUCACCGAUAUGUACCGGUAGAUGGCUUGUACUUAUCGUAACGUCGCUCUUCUGCAAAGUGCCAGUCCGAAAGUCAGUUAUUCGUUCUGCAAAACACUGAACAGAACUCAGUCUCCGGUGCUGCGAGUGCGAGUUGUUCGUUGAAAGCAUGAUGAUGAUGCACGAUGUAUUCCUUCGUCAUAGGCAUUCAUUCUCCUUCGAAGCUUCGAAGAGUCUCGUCAAGUUGUCGAAUGUGAAGGAAGCAGGCAGUCGAUAGCGGUGCUUUGUGGCCAAGCGGAGAGACACAGCAGCCAUUGUAAGCGGCUGCUGGUUUCCGUGUCUAUUUCACAGGGCAAGAGGAUGAGAACAUUGCCACAACGGCAGUAACUACCUUUCUGCACAUCAACCAUAUGAGUGCAGGUAGUAGAGGAGAAAGCAGCAAGCCAGCGAGAAACAAGCCGGCGAAGAAAAUUCAUGCGAAGAAAAUUCUAUAGUAUUAGCCAUCCCUAUCCCCGACCACCAUCCCCUACUGGAAUGAUUACUUUUAUAGCCUACCCUGGCUGUGAACUUCACACUUGAUGAGUGGCUAACCAACCACCCUGGCCCUCAGCCAAUGAGAGAACGACAGCCAGGGU